rnacentral:rRNA from 1 species
GAGCGGCGGACGGGUGAGUAACACGUGGACAAUCUGCCCCCCGGCCCGGGAUAGCCCAGGGAAACCUGGAUUAAUACCGGAUGAGACGGGACCCGCGAUGGCGGGAUCCGGGAAAGGCGCUGCGGCGCCGCCGGGGGGAGUGAGUCUGCGUCCCAUUAGCUAGACGGCGGGGUAACGGGCCCACCGUGGCGACGAUGGGUAGCCGGCCUGAGAGGGUGGACGGCCACAUUGGAACUGAGACACGGUCCAGACUCCUACGGGAGGCAGCAGCUAAGAAUCUUCCGCAAUGGGCGAAAGCCUGACGGAGCGAACCGCCGCGUGAACGAAGAAGGCCGUGAGGUUGUAAAGUUCUUUUCGGGUAGGGGGGAACGAACCGUGGCAGGGAAUGGCCGCGGGAUGACGUGAAUCCCGGAAUAAGCCCCGGCCUAACUACGUGCCAGCCGCAGC